rnacentral:rRNA from 1 species
AUGCACGCUGACAGAAUGCUUAACACAUGCAAGUCUUUGGCGAAGCUGUGCUCGCACAGCCUAGCCAAGGCGGACGGGUGAGUAACGCGUAAGGAACUUGCCCUGCAGUCAGGGAUAACAGACGGAAACGACUGAUAAGACCUGGUAAAGUCAGGCGGACUCAUGUCCAGCCUGAUGAAAAGAGAUGCUGCAGGAGAGCCUUGCGUCCUAUUAGCUUGUCGGUGGGGUAACGGCCCACCAAGGCGAUGAUAGGUAGCCGGCCUGAGAGGGUGGACGGCCACAAGGGGACUGAGAUACGGCCCUUACUCCUACGGGAGGCAGCAGUGGGGAAUAUUGGACAAUGGGGGCAACCCUGAUCCAGCAAUUCUGUGUGCACGAUGAAGGUUUUCGGAUUGUAAAGUGCUUUCAGAAGGGAAGAAAAAAAUGACGGUACCUGCAGAAGAAGCGACGGCUAAAUACGUG